rnacentral:rRNA from 1 species
UGGGGAAUAUUGGACAAUGGGCGAAAGCCUGAUCCAGCAAUGCCGCGUGAGUGAUGAAGGCCUUAGGGUUGUAAAGCUCUUUUACCAGGGAUGAUAAUGACAGUACCUGGAGAAUAAGCUCCGGCUAACUCCGUGCCAGCAGCCGCGGUAAUACGGAGGGAGCUAGCGUUGUUCGGAAUUACUGGGCGUAAAGCGCACGUAGGCGGUUACUCAAGUCAGAGGUGAAAGCCCGGGGCUCAACCCCGGAACUGCCUUUGAAACUAGGUGACUAGAAUCUUGGAGAGGUCAGUGGAAUUCCGAGUGUAGAGGUGAAAUUCGUAGAUAUUCGGAAGAACACCAGUGGCGAAGGCGACUGACUGGACAAGUAUUGACGCUGAGGUGCGAAAGCGUGGGGAGCAAACA